CAAGCACCUCUAUAGGGAAGUUUGUCAUGUGGUCUUGCCUCAUUUAUUUCUAGCCCAAGAAUGUUCUGGUAAAAGUCUAAGGACCUCUCAAGGUUUUCACAUAGUAUCCCAACGUGGUGCAUGCAAACAACUCCAAAAUCCUUAUCAUCAACAGCGUCGGUGCCUACAGAAUCUUUUGCCAGCAUAUCCAUUUCCACCGAUGGUUUAGCUCUCGUCAUCAAACGCCGCCUGUGGCUCCAUCGUGUUGAAGAUGGUUGAAAAAUUUUGUUUGGUAUUCCACUAGUAGAUACAGAUAAGACACCCCCAGGGUUCAGCUUGUUUUGAGGCAGAGUGAGAGGUGGGUUCAGCAGAG
rnacentral:misc_RNA from 1 species